CCAGAUAGAAUUGUUGCAGCAGGUUGUCCUUGCCAUUACAGAUGUUGGUGACAUUCCUGCUCUCUGCCCUUUAGAUGCCAACAACACCCCAACUCCAUCCUGGUAAUUAAGAGAUGUCUACAAGUACUAACAGUGUCUACUGGAUGUAUAAAUCAUCCCAGCUGAAAACCAUGAUCUAAACUAUGCCCUGCACAUCUACGUGGGCAUGGACCAGCAUCAAACCUGACUGCUGUUGUUAGGAUAUUUGUUUUUGAGACAGAGAGUCACUAUGACAGGGGAAGUGACACAUUCCUGAAUGGUGAUCUCAUUUGAUCUACAAGCAAAUUGCUGAGCACUGAGCACAGUGGAGCAGAUGCUGUGAACCUGGAUAUAAACAAGGAAACUAAAGCAAAAUGGAGGUUAAGCAGCAGAGAUGCCAUCAGGGACCUGAAGGGGCUACGAUGAAUGAAUUAAGAGACAAAAUGCCAUGUGAGCUCACUCACAUGGGAUAUAAAGAAGCUGGCUUCAUAGAAUUAAGGAGUAGAAUGGUGCUUACCCCAGGGUAGGAAAUGAAGUGGGGAGAAGGGGUCAAAGGUUAGCAGGUCCAUAGGUCAUAAAUAGUAUGAAUGAGUUCCAGUGUUCUAUGGCACUAUAGGGUAACAUACUUGAUAAUAAUGUAUUAUUUCCUAAGGAAGCUCAGUGGUACAUCUGAAUGUAAGGAAAUGACAAAAGUCUAAAGUAAUAUAUAUGCUAAUUAUACCCAAAUUAGCCAGUACCCAAUGUAUACAUACACCAAAACAUUGCUUCCUAAAUGUGCAAAAAUCAUAUACCAGUCAAAAAUAAAAUGAACUUUAAAAGAGGAAUCUUUAGGUAAAUACUAUAGAUAUAAAGUAAAUUAUAAAUACAGAUAUUUAUAUAGUACAAUGAAGUCUAGAGAAUAGUUGAGUUUAGAGAAAUCAGUAUUCAGGUGCUGAGUCAAUUUGAACUAGACCCAUAAACUGAUCCUUUGGUUUUCUUAACGGCCACAUUUUUCUGAACCCAUCCUGUGUGCAUCAAACUGAAAAGAUGGGGUUGGGUUCUUGACAUUUAAGAUGGGAGACAGAAAUCAAAAGUCCAAGAUUAGUGUGAGAAAAUACAACUUAGCAGCAGCCCAGAAUGCAUUUGAUUGUUCCUGGAAUGUGUUCAGCAAACUCCCCAGCCAGCUCCACAACAAGUUCAUAUGGAAACUGUGCAGGAUGCUAUCCUACAGCUGAGGCUUUUCCUGGUGAACUCAUCAAGACUGCCAUGUAGACAUCCAUCUGAUCUGGGGCAUUUCCAGUUAGCACCAGAGCCACAAAAGAGAUGUGCCAUCUUGCCACAUGAAAAACAAAACAAAAACAAAAACACAAAAACAAAAACAAAAACAAACCCAAGUCUUUGCAAGCAGAGGAACAAUGCCUCAUUUGGCAAGGAUGCCACAACUAUGAAACCCUUUCUUACAGUUGCAAGCUCUCAGAUAAACCAGUACAGUGGAAGGAUAUGAACUAUUCAAAGUUUCCUGAAGUAUCUUCAUAUUACCACUUAUAUCAAUAUUAAUACACUUGCAUGCUACAAUUCGGGCUAGUGGCUCAGUGGGUUAAAGAUGCUUGCUGCCCAGUCCAGUCUUGAGGUCUACAGUCUCUACACAUGUGCGGUGCUAUGGGUGCUCCCACACCUACAUACACCCAAACACUCGAAGUAAAUAGUAUAUGAGAAACUAUCUGAGAAUCAGAAUACAGUGGGUAGGCAAGACAGGGAAAUUAGUGGAUUGCACUGUCAAGAUACUUAGUACUUCAAAAUCAGUGUAGAUUAAAAAACAAAUGGGUUUGUCCCAAGUAAGCACAGCUUUUCUCUACUGGGUGUAUUUAAUAUUUGACUUUUAUUAUUUUUUCAUUAAACUUAAUCUUUUAUCUUGAUCAGAUUCAAGAUGGUAAUCCCACAUUUUCAUCGUUUGAGUCUCUAUAUUUUACAUUAAUGCUAAUAUUAUUUCUUGUUCUCACCUUAUUCCAAACUUUUUUUUCCCAUCAAUGUCUUAAUGUUGUUAUUUUACAAUAAUAAAAUAACUUGAUACA